rnacentral:rRNA from 1 species
CUGGGUUCAGAACGUCGUGAGACAGUUCGGUCGUUAUCCACUGUGGGCGUAGGAAACUUGAGGGGUUCAUUCCCUAGUACGAGAGGACCGGGAAUGACGCACUUCUGGUGUGGCAGUUGUUCCGUCAGGGGCAGCGCUGCGUAGCCAUGUGCGGACGAGAUAAGCGCUGAAAGCAUCUAAGUGCCAAGCUCUUCCCAAGAUAGGGUUUCCCCGGGCAGGCAAUCCGCAAGGGUUGUUUUGCCCCUAAAGACCACCGGUAGACUACCGGUUUGAUAGGUCAGGCGUGUAAGCGCGGCAACGCGUUCAGCGGACUGAUACUAAUCGGUCGUGAGGCUUGAUCGCU